rnacentral:rRNA from 1 species
GACGAACGCUGGCGGCGUGCUUAACACAUGCAAGUCGAACGGAAAGGCCCUGCUUUUGUGGGGUGCUCGAGUGGCGAACGGGUGAGUAACACGUGAGUAACCUGCCCUUGACUUUGGGAUAACUUCAGGAAACUGGGACUAAUACCGGAUAGGAGCUCCUGCUGCAUGGUGGGGGUUGGAAAGUUUCGGCGGUUGGGGAUGGACUCGCGGCUUAUCAGCUUGUUGGUGGGGUAGUGGCUUACCAAGGCUUUGACGGGUAGCCGGCCUGAGAGGGUGACCGGCCACAUUGGGACGGAGAGACGGCCCAGACUCCUACGGGAGGCAGCAGUGGGGAAUAUUGCACAAUGGGCGGAAGCCUGAUGCAGCAACGCCGCGUGCGGGAUGACGGCCUUCGGGUUGGAAACCGCUUUCGCCUGUGACGAAGCGUGAGUGACGGUAAUGGGUAAUGAAACACCGGCGAACUACGG